GACGAACGCUGGCGGCGUGCUUAACACAUGCAAGUCGAACGGAAAGGCCCUGCUUUUGUGGGGUGCUCGAGUGGCGAACGGGUGAGUAACACGUGAGUAACCUGCCCUUGACUUUGGGAUAACUUCAGGAAACUGGGGCUAAUAUCGGAUAGGAGCUCCUGCUGCAUGUUGGGGGUUGGAAAGUUUCGGCGGUUGGGGAUGGACUCGCGGCUUAUCAGCUUGUUGGUGGGGUAGUGGCUUACCAAGGCUUUGACGGGUAGCCGGCCUGAGAGGGUGACCGGCCACAUUGGGACUGAGAUACGGCCCAGACUCCUACGGGAGGCAGCAGUGGGGAAUAUUGCACAAUGGGCGGAAGCCUGAUGCAGCAACGCCGCGUGCGGGAUGACGGCCGUCGGGUUGUAAACCGCUUUCGCCUGUGACGAAGCGUGAGUGACGGUAAUGGGUAAAGAAGCACCGGCUAACUACGUG
rnacentral:rRNA from 1 species